GCUCUUCCCUCUGAAAUGACCUGCCUCCUCUUCUGUUUCUCCUUCAAAGCCCAGCUGGGGCCACUUCCUGGAAGACGCCUUCCCUGACUUCCAAGGCAAGGCCCUUGGUGCCCUCCUCCGAGUAUUAGCCCCUUAGAUUUUUAUCAUGUCUAAUUGCUGCACUCACAUCUAUCUGCCUUUUGGAUUACAAGCCUCUGAGGACAACUUCUCCAGUUCCUACUUGCAGUAGGUCCAGGAAAAAAGACCAUGGGAAAACGAAAGAGUGCUGUUGGAGAGUGAAAAGUGUAAGCACUGCCGUAAUGGGCCUGUAAGACCGACUUGUUAGCUGACGCCA
rnacentral:lncRNA from 1 species